UGCAGCUGAACCUGCCGGUGAAGGCCCCAAUUCCAGGACUGAGCCUCUGGGAGAUGGUGAGGGUGUGUCUGCGGGGAGGACUUCUCCAGCUCCAGGGCUGGAUGCUUGGCCCCAACCCAGCUCCCAUGGCAUGCUUCCUCUGACAGGGAAGAUGCAAGACACAAGAGACAAGAUAUCCCUGGAACCACCCAAACAGACGAAGCAAGAGCUGAAGGAAAUGCGGCAGGGAGGACAAG